rfam:Cavia porcellus supercont2_3 genomic scaffold, whole genome shotgun sequence.
GUCGGCGUGGUGGCGCGCGCCUGUAGUCCCAGCUACUCGGGAGGCCGAGGUGGGAGGAGCGCUUGAGUCCAGGAGUUCUGGGCUGCAGUGUGUUAUGCCGAUCCGGUGUCCGCACUAAGUUCGGCAUCAGUAUAGUGACCUCCCCUGAGCAGGAGACCACCAGGUUGCCUAAGGAGGGGUGAACCGGCCGAGGUCGGAAACGGAGCAGGUCAAAACUCCCGUGCUGACCAGUAGUGGGAUGGCGCCUGUGAAUAGCCACUGCACUCCAGCCUGGGCAAUAUAGUGAGACCCUGUCUCUA